rnacentral:rRNA from 1 species
AACGCGAAGAACCUUACCAAGGCUUGACAUGCAUUAGAUCGCGUCAGAGAUGGCGUUUCCCUUCGGGGCUGGUGUACAGGUGGUGCAUGGUUGUCGUCAGCUCGUGUCGUGAGAUGUUGGGUUAAGUCCCGCAACGAGCGCAACCCUCGUUCUAUGUUGCCAGCGGUUCGGCCGGGGACUCAUAGGAGACUGCCGGGGUCAACUCGGAGGAAGGUGGGGAUGACGUCAAAUCAUCAUGCCCCUUAUGUCUUGGGCUUCACGCAUGCUACAAUGGCCGGUACAGAGGGUUGCGAUACUGUGAGGUGGAGCUAAUCCCUUAAAGCCGGUCUCAGUUCGGAUUGGGGUCUGCAACUCGACCCCAUGAAGUCGGAGUCGCUAGUAAUCGCAGA